UGUUAGUAUGGUGCUCUCUAUAGCCAGAGAGG
rnacentral:piRNA from 1 species